AUACGUAGGGAGCGAGCGUUGUCCGGAUUUACUGGGUGUAAAGGGUGCGUAGGCGGGACUGCAAGUCAGACGUGAAAUACCGAGGCUUAACCUCGGGGCUGCGUUUGAAACUGAUGGUCUUGAGUGCUGGAGAGGAAAGCGGAAUUCCUAGUGUAGCGGUGAAAUGCGUAGAUAUUAGGAGGAACACCAGUGGCGAAGGCGGCUUUCUGGACAGUAACUGACGCUGAGGCGCGAAAGCGUGGGGAGC
rnacentral:rRNA from 1 species